UACGGAGGAUCCGAGCGUUAUCCGGAUUUAUUGGGUUUAAAGGGAGCGUAGGCGGACUGUUAAGUCAGCGGUAAAAGCCCGGGGCUCAACCCCGGCGAGCCGUUGAAACUGGCGGGCUGGAGUUGGAGAGAAGUACGCGGAAUGCGCGGUGUAGCGGUGAAAUGCUUAGAUAUCGCGCAGAACCCCGAUUGCGAAGGCAGCGUGCCGUGCCGCCACUGACGCUGAGGCACGAAAGCGCGGGGAUCGAACAGG
rnacentral:rRNA from 1 species